ACGUAGGGUGCAAGCGUUAAUCGGAAUUAUUGGGCGUAAAGCGUGCGCAGGCGGUUCUGCAAGUCUGAUGUGAAAGCCCCGGGCUUAACCUGGGAACGGCAUUUGAUACUGUAGAGCUAGAGUACAGAAGAGGGGGAUGGAAUUCCACGUGUAGAAGUGAAAUUCGUAGAGAUGGGGAGGAACACCGAUGGCGAAGGCAGUUUCCUGGGAUGAUACUGACGCUCAUGCGCGAAAGCGUGGGGAGCAAACAG
rnacentral:rRNA from 1 species